UACGUAGGGCGCAAGCGUUAUCCGGAAUUAUUGGGCGUAAAGAGCUCGUAGGCGGUCUGUCGCGUCUGCUGUGAAAAUCCAGGGCUCAACCCUGGACCUGCAGUGGGUACGGGCAGACUAGAGUGCGGUAGGGGAGAUCGGAAUCCUGGUGUAGCGGUGAAAUGCGCAGAUAUCAGGAGGAACACCGGUGGCGAAGGCGGGUCUCUGGGCCGAUACUGACGCUGAGGAGCGAAAGCGUGGGGAGCAAACAGG
rnacentral:rRNA from 1 species